rnacentral:rRNA from 1 species
UACGAAGGGGGCUAGCGUUGCUCGGAAUCACUGGGCGUAAAGCGCACGUAGGCGGCUUUCUAAGUCAGGGGUGAAAUCCUGGAGCUCAACUCCAGAACUGCCUUUGAUACUGGAGAGCUAGAGUCCGGAAGAGGUGAGUGGAACUGCGAGUGUAGAGGUGAAAUUCGUAGAUAUUCGCAAGAACACCAGUGGCGAAGGCGACUCACUGGCCCGAUACUGACGCUGAGGCGCGAAAGCGUGGGGAGCAAACAGG